GCUCCUCAGUUUGAAAUGGAGGCGAGAUAAGAAUCGCAGGGCAGGACUCUCUUGCCUCCUGCCUUUGGGAAGGAUGGCUCUCAACCCAUGGCCUCCUUGACGUGCCAUUUUUAUAUAAAGCAUGCCACCGCAAGGCUAUAAAAAGACCUUAAUCAAUAACCCACUCUGGAGGUGGGAGACAGGCGGGUCCCGGUCCCAUAGUUAGCAGCACGGUCCCCACUAGAACUCGGUGCUCGGAGUCUCAAUCCACUGCGACAGACCCCCAGCGGCACACAGAGAGAGGGCGGGCCUUGUGUCUGCCUCCCCAGACUACAGAAAAUUAAGAAAGGUAAACAGAAGUGCAGCUAAUGAACCAGCAGCAUGGACGAGAGCAGAGUGCUUAGGACAGUACACCUCGUCUCAGAGGGAGCCUGUGACACUUGGUGACCGCGUGCUUUCUGGCUCCUCCCCAGGCCCAGGGAGCCCAUCUGCCCCAGCCGGUCUCUUUCCAGCACUUCACGGACGCGAGGGUGGAGAAGAGACUGGCUGCCCGGAAGGAGCGCCGCAGUCGUUUUGGAAAUGUCAGCGUGCACAAGUGCUACCAGUUCGGGCAGGUCUUCUCCCCUUUCCAAGCCCUCGCCACCACGGAAAUGAGAAAGCUGGUGUUUCCCCGAGACCUGCCCAUGAGACCCUCUGUGCAGAGAAUGAGUUCUUCGUUCUCCACUGAUGUAAGCCUCCAGGAUUUUCUGCUGCCUUCCGCAGAGCUGGGCUUGGGAAAGGAUGAAGACAGCCACGAGAAAGAGAGACCAGCAAGCCACAUGAAAACACCUUUAUUCCCCCCAAUAGUUAAAGCGACAAAAUCUAACGACAUGAAAUAAAAAUUACGAAACUGCAUUCUGACCACUUGCUGCAACGUUUUGUGUUAAGAACAAUUAGGGACCCAAGAGUGCUGAGACAUUUUAACACCUGACAAUGUUUAGAUAACUUGAAGAAUAUCAACAUCAUGUCUCCGUGUGAGCAUUUUGGAAAGGGUGAAACAAUUAGAAACUUCAGUAUGCAGCCAGACUGAAUUCUCAAGAAGAACAUUUUUCUCAAAAGUCUGAAGAUGGGGUGAGGAGAUAGUUACAGUCCAGUGAAUCAAGGACCCCACUUUUUCCAUCUUUCUGCUCUACCAUUCCCAGAGUGCUGGACGGUAACCUUAGGUUUAGUGCCUCACGGUCACCAGAUGGCUGCCAUUGCACCAAACAUCACAUCCUCGCAGAGUACAUCAAACCCUAGAAGGGUGUCAUGUUACACACACACACACACACACACACACACAGAAGGAGAACCUCUCCCAGGAGCCACUCAGCAGAUUUCUUAGCAAUUCUCCUUAGCCAGAAUGAGGUAUCUUAGCUAUGCCCUAACUACAAAGGAAGCCGAGAAAGCACGAAUUUGGCAUAUAUUAGAAGACAAGUUAUACCAGCAGGAAAAGAAAGUAGGAAAAUGGCUAACGGGGAAGCAGUUAAUGUCUGCCACAGGGAGGACACUCAGGUUUGACCUGACACUCAAUUUGCAGGUCAGAUGAUGACAGUGAGACAUUUUUAUUUAUGCAGAGUGAAAAUCUGCCUUAUAAGUUCUAAGCAUCAGUCCUAAGGCUGUUUCUUUAAGAAGAUGGCUCCAUCCUAAAUAGAUUUCAUUUUCCUUUGACAUUUCAGAGUAACAUGGGCUUAUAAUACAAAUUACUCAAGGACAUAAACAAGGAAAUAAUCACCCAGAAUCUCGCCAUUUAGAUAUAACUUGUGUUUGUAUCUGGAAAUUUUUAGAUCACUUUUCAAUCUCUUGCCCUUAUCGAAGUGCUGAGAUUGUCUUUGGGCUGAGAUCUCUCUUCCAUGGUUUUCACGGGGUAGUGUCUUGGCAUCAUUGCCCAGCAUCUCUCAGAGGGUCACCUGGUCCACUUCUGGGUCCUGCGGUCCCCACUUCUAUGUCCCCACCCACGUGGCUAUGGUUACAGAGGCCAUGGCAUCGUCUGCAUUACAAGACUGCACCCAAGUGAGUACAUACACCUAACCUUUUUCACAGAUUCAUGGAGGGCAUAAUCUUCUUCCUUUUUAACACUAUAAUGGUUAUUUAUGACCUACAUCAUGCGUAAGAUGCCAC
ensembl:lincRNA